AGCUGCUCCGCACAGCCCCGCCUGGCACGCAGCUCCAGCGGCUGGUCGGGUAGUAGUCGGUCCCGCCCACCCGGUGCGGUGGCCCCUGGGGUUUCAGUCCAAGGGGAGGGACCAGCGCUCCAAGAAGGUGAGGCUGCUGGGAUGGGUGACUCCGCCGUCACUGCAAACACGGGACGUCCCGUCUACUCCCUUACGCCUGCUUGGUCUGAGCCCGAGUCUACCUCUUCUCUAAGUCGCCAGCUCGGCACUUGUACCCGGGACCUGUGCUCCUCCCACAAGAAAUUAAAUCAUUUUUGGGAAGCCCUCAAGGUACCAUAAGCUCUGGGCAGUGUGCCUAAGACUUCUAAUGGAGAAUUUAGCCCUGUGCAGAUGAUAUUGCAGAGGAGGAAUGCUUAGUUAAUUUAGUUCCAGGAUACCUGUGCAGGACAUGACAUGCAGGUUUGUCAUGUAGGUAAACAUGUGCCAUGGUGGUUUGCUGCACCUGUCGACCCAUCACCUAGAAGGAAAAAAUUGGACACGGAGAUAAGGACAGAGGAAAGAUGAUGUGAAGACAGGGGCAGAAGUCAGCCAUCUACAAGUCAAAGGGAGACAUGUGGAACAGAUUCACCCUCACAGCCCUCAGAUGGAAGCAACACCACUAACACUUUGCUCUUGGACUUCUAGCUUCCAGAACUGAGAGACAAUAUCUUUCUGUUGCUUAAGUCAUUCUGUCUGUGAUACUGUGUUUAUGGCAGCCCUGGCAAACUAAUACAGUCCCACAAAGAUUUGGUUGUUGCUUUGCAAGAGAAUGUAUAAUUCCUGGUUAUUUCUACAAAUAAGGGCAUUGACUUUAUAAAGCUACAAGUAUACCCCAGUAUUCUGUUUCUGGUUUUUGUUUACUUUCAUAUAUGCUAUCUUUUCAUUCCCAGGUGAAAUCAUAGUGCAUUUUAAAUGAUAUUUUAAAGAGCAAUUAUACUCGUCAUAUGUACUUCAAAUAAUACUGAUUCCUCAAUUGAAGUAAUGGUAACAUGAGUGUAUUAGUUAAUUUUUUCUGAAUAACUAGUUACCUCCAAAGUUCAUGCCUUCAAGCAACACAUAUUCAUUAUUUCACAGCUUCUUUGGGUCAGGAGUCUUGGCAUAGCUUAGCUGAGUCCUCUGGCUCCUGGCGUCCCAGGCUGUAAUCAAGGUGGUGGCCAGGACUGUAGUCAUGUCAGGGCUCGCCAGGGAAGGAUCUGCCUCCAAGCUAACCAGUGUGGCUUUUGGCAGAAUAUAUUUCUAUGCAGGUUGUUGGACUGAGUUUCUUGCUGGCUGUUCCAGAGGUUCCCUUAGCAUCUUGUCGUGUGGCCUCUUCAUAGGUCAAUUCAUAUUGGCUUCAUCAAAGUGAGCAGGUAAGAUAGCAAAAGAGAAUGCCCAAGAUAGAAGCCAUAGUCUUUUUGUAAUCUAAUCUUAGAAGUGACAGCCUGUUAUAUUUGCUAUAUUCUCUUUGUUAGAAACAAGUUUCUAGGGCUGGGCAUGGUGGCUCACAUCUGUAAUCCCAGCAUUUUGGGAGGCCGAGACAGGCAGAUCACCUGAGGUCAGGAGUUCGAGACCAGCCUGGCCAACAUGGCGAAAUCCUGUCUCUACUAAAAAUACAAAGCCGAGUGUGGUGGCGCAGGCCUGUAAUCCCAGCUACUUGGGAGGCUAAGGCAGGAGAAGCACUUGAACCUGGGUGGUGGAGGUUGCAGUGAGCCAAGAUUGUGCCACUGCACUCCAGCCUGGGUGACAGAGUGAGACUCCAUCUCAAAAAACAAACAAACAAAAAACCAAAUUACUAGGUUUGUCUCAUUCUCAAGGGAAGAGUUUACUCAAGAGAAUAAAUACCAGGAGGUUGGGAUCACUGGAGGCCAGUUUAGAGUCUGCCUACCAAUAGGAGCAAGGCCAUCAAUGUCAGUCAGUGACAUCAACAUCAUGUAGACUGCUUGGCCAACAGUAAUGCUAAAAUGCCAUCAAUCUUGAGAUCAUCUUCAUCUCAUAAAUAUUAACAUGUAAAAAAAGUCAUUUUAAAGUAAAG
rnacentral:lncRNA from 1 species